AUACGUAGGGUGCAAGCGUUAAUCGGAAUUACUGGGCGUAAAGCGUGCGCAGGCGGUUUUGUAAGACAGAGGUGAAAUCCCCGGGCUCACCCUGGGAACUGCCUUUGUGACUGCAAGGCUAGAGUACGGCAGAGGGGGAUGGAAUUCCGCGUGUAGCAGUGAAAUGCGUAGAUAUGCGGAGGAACACCGAUGGCGAAGGCAAUCCCCUGGGCCUGCACUGACGCUCAUGCACGAAAGCGUGGGGAGCAAACAGGAUUAGAUACCCUGGUAGUCCACGCCCUAAACGAUGUCAACUGGUUGUUGGGGAUUUAUUUUCUCAGUAACGAAGCUAACGCGUGAAGUUGACCGCCUGGGGAGUACGGCCGCAAGGUUAAAACUCAAAGGAAUUGACGGGG
rnacentral:rRNA from 1 species